AUGGAAUUGAGUUUGUCUCAUACGCUUUAUCUUUUUAAUAUCUAUCGUGAGAAUAAGGAUUCCGAUAAUUGUGCUCAAGUGCUAGAAGAAGAAUGCAUUAAAAUAUUUGGCACUAAAUAUUUGAAUGAUGAGCAUGAUUGCAAUGUUGUUAGUAUUAAUUCCUUGGAUAUCUAUGAUGCUAAUGAUAUGCAAAGCCACAAGCUUGGGGAAGCUAUGUUUAAUGAAGAUGAUAUUUUUUGUCCCCCAAGCUUUGAUGAGCAAAUUUCCUAUGAUGAAAGUGUGCCUCCUAUUUAUGAUGAUUAUAUUGAUGAAAGUGGAUUUGGAGAGGCCAUGACUUUAUUUUGUGAUGAAUCCACUAUUUCGGAAGAGGUUCCAAUUGAUUAUGAGAACAAACUUGCUAUCUAUGAUGAUUAUUGUGAUGACUUGUAUGCUAUAAAGAAUAAUGAUAUCCAUGAAACUUGUCAUCAUGAUUUUAGUUUUCAAUUGGAUUAUGCCUCACAUGAUAAUUAUUUUGUUGAGUUUGCUCCCACUAUUAUUCAUGAGAAGAAUUUUGCUUGUGUGGAGAGUAGUAAAUUUUCUAUGCUUGUAGAUCAUGAAAAGAAUGCUUUAUGUGAUGGUUAUAUUGUUGAAUUCAUUCAUGAUGCUACUGAAAAUUAUUAUGAGGGAGGAACAUAUGCUUGUAGGAAUUGCAAUAAUAUCAAGUUUCCUCUCUAUGGGCUUAAGGUUUUGAAGUUUUGCUUGCUUUACCUUCCUAUGCAAGUUGAUUCUUGUUCCCAUAAGUUGUUUGCUCACAAAAUCCCUAUGCAUAGGAAGUAUGUUAGACUUAAAUGUGCUAGUCAUAUUCUUCAUGAUUCUCUCUUUAUGUUACAAUUCUUAUCCUUCAUGUGA
rnacentral:rRNA from 1 species